UACGUAGGGUGCGAGCGUUAAUCGGAAUUACUGGGCGUAAAGCGUGCGCAGGCGGCGCGUUAAGACAGGUGUGAAAGCCCCGAGCUUAACUUGGGAAUUGCGCUUGUGACUGGCGUGCUGGAGUGUGGCAGAGGGAGGUGGAAUUCCACGUGUAGCAGUGAAAUGCGUAGAUAUGUGGAGGAACACCGAUGGCGAAGGCAGCCUUCUGGGCCAACACUGACGCUCAUGCACGAAAGCGUGGGGAGCAAACAGG
rnacentral:rRNA from 1 species